UACGGAGGGUGCGAGCGUUGUCCGGAAUCAUUGGGCGUAAAGGGCGCGUAGGUGGCCACUUCAAGCGUGCGGUGAAAGUCGGGGGCUCAACCCCUGAUCGGCCGUGCGAACUGGGGGGCUGGAGCACUGUAGAGGCAGGCGGAAUUCCGGGUGUAGCGGUGGAAUGCGUAGAGAGUCCGGAAGAACACCGGUGGCGAAGGCGGCCUGCUGGGCAGUUUUGCUGACACUGAGGCGCGACAGCGUGGGGGAGCAAACAGG
rnacentral:rRNA from 1 species